CGCGGCCUAUCAGCUUGUUGGUGAGGUAAUGGCUCACCAAGGCGUCGACGGGUAGCCGGCCCGAGAGGGUGACCGGCCACACUGGGACUGAGACACGGCCCAGACUCCUACGGGAGGCAGCAGUGGGGAAUAUUGCACAAUGGGCGCAAGCCUGAUGCAGCGACGCCGCGUGAGGGAUGAAGGCCUUCGGGUUGUAAACCUCUUUCAGCAGGGACGAAGCGUGAGUGACGGUACCUGCAGAAGAAGCACCGGCUAACUACGUGCCAGCAGCCGCGGUAAUACGUAGGGUGCGAGCGUUAUCCGGAAUUAUUGGGCGUAAAGAGCUCGUAGGCGGUUUGUCGCGUCUGCCGUGAAAGUCCGGGGCUCAACUCCGGAUCUGCGGUGGGUACGGGCAGGCUAGAGUGAUGUAGGGGAGACUGGAAUUCCUGGUGUAGCGGUGAAAUGCGCAGAUAUCAGGAGGAACACCGAUGGCGAAGGCAGGUCUCUGGGCAUUAACUGACGCUGAGGAGCGAAAGCAUGGGGAGCGAACAGGAUUAGAUACCCUGGUAGUCCAUGCCGUAAACGUUGGGCACUAGGUGUGGGGGACAUUCCACGUUUUCCGCGCCGUAGCUAACGCAUUAAGUGCCCCGCCUGGGGAGUACGG
rnacentral:rRNA from 1 species